rnacentral:rRNA from 1 species
CCUACGGGGGGCUGCAGUGGGGAAUAUUGGACAAUGGGCGAAAGCCUGAUCCAGCCAUGCCGCGUGUGUGAAGAAGGCCUUCGGGUUGUAAAGCACUUUCAGUGGGGAAGAAAGCCUUGGGGCUAAUACCCUCGAGGAAGGACAUCACCCACAGAAGAAGCACCGGCUAACUCCGUGCCAGCAGCCGCGGUAAUACGGAGGGUGCGAGCGUUAAUCGGAAUUACUGGGCGUAAAGCGCGCGUAGGCGGUCUGAUAAGCCGGUUGUGAGAGCCCCGGGCUCAACCUGGGAACGGCAUCCGGAACUGUCAGGCUAGAGUGCAGGAGAGGAAGGUAGAAUUCCCGGUGUAGCGGUGAAAUGCGUAGAGAUCGGGAGGAAUACCAGUGGCGAAGGCGGCCUUCUGGACUGACACUGACGCUGAGGUGCGAAAGCGUGGGUAGCAAACAGGAUUAGAUACCCUGGUAGUC